UUGCCAUAUCCCCAAAGCGGAGGAAAAGAAACCAACAGGGAUUGCCCUAGUAACGGCGAGUGAAGCGGCAACAGCUCAAAUUUGAAAGCUGGCUCCGGCCCGCAUUGUAAUUUGCAGAGGAUGCUUUUGGCGAGGUGCCUUCCGAGUUCCCUGGAACGGGACGCCAUAGAGGGUGAGAGCCCCGUAUGGAUGGACACCAGACCUGUGUAAAGCUCCUUCAACGAGUCGAGUAGUUUGGGAAUGCUGCUCUAAAUGGGAGGUAAAUCUCUUCUAAAGCUAAAUACCGGCCAGAGACCGAUAGCGCACAAGUAGAGUGAUCGAAAGAUGAAAAGCACCUUGAAAAGGGGGUUAAACAGUACGUGAAAUUGUUGAAAGGGAAGCAUUUAUGACCAGACUUGCGCCGGGCAGCUCAUCAGGGGUUCUCCCCUGUGCACUCUGCCCGGCUCAGGCCAGCAUCGGUUCUCGUGGGAGGAUAAGAACAGUGGGAACGUGGCCCCCCUCCGGGGGGGUGUUAUAGCCCAUUGUACGAUACUCUCGUGGGGACCGAGGUUCGCGCUCCGCAAGGAUGCUGGCGUAAUGGUCAUCAAUGACCCGUCUUGAAACCCGAAACCAAG
rnacentral:rRNA from 1 species